rnacentral:sRNA from 1 species
GACCACCUUUUGGGUUAAGGCCAUACGGACAGCCGGGUCAACUGCCG